rnacentral:rRNA from 1 species
GAUGAACGCUAGCGGCAGGCCUAAUACAUGCAAGUCGAACGGUAAGUGUUUUAGCAAUAAGACACCAAGAGUGACGCACGGGUGCGUAACACGUAUGCAACCUACCCUUUACAGGCGGAU